AGUUGAUGUACAGGUGUCAUCAUUUUAAAUAGGGUACAGAGAGGGUACAGAGAAAACGGGCACAACAGAUCUGAAGUCGUAUCAAAACCAAAACCAUAAACCCUAACCCAUCUCUCAAACACUCAACUCUUCAUCCCGUCUCUCUGUUGUAAGCCCAAUAAGUAAACAUGGUGCAAUAUAACUUCAAGAAGAUGACUGUUGUACCCAGUGGGAAGGACUUCAUUGACAUUAUCCUGUCUCGCACCCAGAGGCAGACCCCAACUGUAGUCCACAAGGGUUAUGCCAUUUCCCGCCUUCGUCAGUUCUAUAUGCGUAAAGUAAAAUAUACCCAACAGAAU